rnacentral:rRNA from 1 species
AACGCGAAGAACCUUACCUGGCCUUGGCAUGCAUCUCUAAACCGGUGAAAGCCGGCGAGUGUCGAAAGACACAAUUUGCGCAGGUGCUGCAUGGCUGUCGUCAGCUCGUGUCGUGAGAUGUUGGGUUAAGUCCCGCAACGAGCGCAGCCCCUGUGAACCGUUGCCACUCCCUUUAUUGGGAAGCACUCUGUUCAGACUGCCCUGUGAAACGGGGAGGAAGGUGGGGACGACGUCAAGUCAGUAUGGCCCUUACGGCCAGGGCUGCACACGUACUACAAUGCCCAGUACAGAACGAUCCGAGACCGCGAGGUGGAGGAAAUCUAGUAAAACUGGGCCCAGUUCGGAUUGGAGGCUGCAACUCGCCUCCAUGAAGCCGGAAUCGCUAGUAAUGCCGUAUCAGCUACGACGGCGUGAAUACGUUCCCGGGCCUUGUACACACCG